rnacentral:rRNA from 1 species
GGGCGAAGAGGGUAGGGGCGAGCUUUCUUUUUCGUUUUUUUUAUUCUCUAGGUGAUGGGUGCUUGCGUGCAGGGUGUGGGUGGGCAGGAGGAGUAGAGGGCGUGGGAAGCGAGGGCUAGGGCAGAGGGAGGAGUAGAGGGCGUGGGGUGGGGCAGCGAGGUCUACGGCGAAGAGAGAGGCUAGGGCUCUUUUUUGAAGAGGCCACACGUCCACGACGAGCUAAAACCAACAAGGCAUACGACCGGCGGCCCUUGUCGCGGCAGCCGCUGCGGCAGUCCCGCCCCAAGAUCCACGUUGCCUUCCGGCUGCGGUACACCACGCCGCUCACGGUCCGGAGGCCUCCCGCGAUGCCCAUACUGUGACCCCGCAGUCUACUAGUGUGUACGAAGACGAAGCCACCAGUCCGAUCGCCCAGCACAAGAUGAAGAAGCAGUCCAAGUAAAUGGGUUAUCAACUAGACUCUCCAUUAACCAACCGGUCACUACAAACUAACUAGAUUCGUUGGAACUCUACACGCUACCCGCUUGCACUCGCCGCCGGUUGCCGUCUGUACCUGAGUUCGGUUGUGUCCAUGUACCGCCUCGUUGAGUGGACGACCAGAGGUGAAGCGUCCGCCGUUCGUCCGUGUCGACGGUGGUUCCAGUUCGUCAAGGACACUUUACUGAAACCCUUACCCACUAAGUGACCCCAUUAAUCGCCAUGGUGGUGUACGACUGUACCUCACAUGUUCCAUACACAAAAGUCGAACAAUUAGUCCUACUUCACCUUAUGUAGUAUUUAUAAGAAACGUACUGGCUAGUCCCUGUAUAGUUGUGCAGGUGAAUUAGGUCAAUUAAGUACAAGUCAAGGAAUCAAACGGAUGGUAACAGGCCUAAAUGGUACAUAAUAAACUGGCCUUUUUACGUAACAAUUAGCGAAGCUGCUUGUUCACUUAUACAUCCGACAUAGGGAGAAAUCAAAAAAUUGUCAGACAAGUGACUGAGUGAUGAAGUAGUAUCUAAUUCCAGUUCUUAAACGGUACAUAACAGGGAAGAAUUUAUACGACGUGAACGAAAGAAGACAGUCGUAAAAUCUUUAUAUUUAAAGGAGUCAACUAAAGAAUAGGGCAAUGGGGGUACAUGCAUAACCAACAACUCGUAGCAAGUGACAAUGUUUCUAUCCAGUCAUCAGUCAUUCUAUUGAUUGUAAAAUUAUAUUCCACCAUAACAAGGUUAAAUGACCGCCACGUAAAAGCGGGAGUUACAACAACAAGAACAUAGUAAAGACUUCAAGACUAAUUCUGAUUACUAGACAAGUGUGUUCAGAAUUCUUUCCUCACACUUUAAUUAAACAAUCGUUUCUUAGAUCUCAAUCUGAAUGAGCUACCAACUAGUCAGUUCACUUCAUUACUAGACCUACACAACCGUUUUAAAGAAACGUUCACGUACCUCUUCGAUUCCUUAUACAGUCGGUGAAAGCCUAUAACACUACAAUAAUGAUAUAUAAUUUACACGAUCUAGAGUUAAGUGUAUAGUAUUUGACAGUUUAAAACUAAUACUAUAAAACAAAGAGUUUUUUAAUCUCAGUCCAUACUACUGAAGUAUUAUGACUCUGAAUUUGAGUCGAUGGUUCAUAAUUAUUUAAUUACAACGUAGAUGAUUAUCGGAUUUAAUUACAAAGUACAAUGUAUAAGUAUGUUUCAAAUGCACAUUAAUAGUACACACAAGAGUAAACAGGUAAAAAUUUAUCAAAAUCCCUUAUUUAUUUAUGAUUAAACUUUACUUAUUCUAAUUAAAUUGAUUCUGGUUCACAUCAAACUAAGAGGAAAAUCGAAGAUUGUCUCGUUCCUUAAUCAAAAGACAAAUUAUCGUCUUAUUAGUCUGAACAUAGUGAAAUGAGUGAACGAUAAACAAAAUCACCAUUCGUUCAAUGAACCCAAAGAUUGGCUCGACUGUACGACGAAGGAAUACAUUACGUUAGAUGAAUAUUUCUUCCACUAAACAAUUGGGGAAAGGCAGCAUCUGUAUCAUACAACUUAACCAUAAGGGUCAGAUAGUACAAUUAAUCUUUUGGAAUACGGAUUUUUACGAAAUUUUACAGUAGUAAACAAAAAAGAGUCGGUAAAAAAAUAGUAAUGUAGCAACAGUACCGUACGAGUUUUUUUAAUGGUCACACUGAACGGAAUAGGUCGGUAACAGACCUGAGUGACGAAUCAAACCAACGAUUAAAUCAAUCAUGGCCGAACAUAACAUCAAGAGAAAUCAGGCUCGUUACCGACCUUGAUUAAAAGUGUCGAGUUUUCAUCAGGGUCGGUGGCGAGGUACCUUCUUGAUUGUGACGACGAAAGACAAACCAUAUUAAAAAAACCAAACAAUCAGAAAUAUACUCCAAAUUGAUAACAUCGAUUCUCUCUUUGCGCUCUUUCUUCGGUAAUGUUAGUGAACAAUAUAACCCUUUUGUAGUUUUCGAGCACUACAAACAUAAGUGCUUUGUUUUACUAAUAGACCGUUUAUAUAAAAGAAUACAGCAUCGUUGCGUGUACAUAGAUCGAAAAAAUAAGUUGUACUUGCUCUUUAUGUGAAGGUUCCUCCUUUACAACUGUAAAAAAACUGAACCAAAAGGAACUAAAGAAUGUUAAAGAGAAAGGUAAAAGAACUCAAACACGUCCAAAUAGGGUACAAUCGACAACAUUCACAAGACUAGACUUAGGAUCCCCAACAACUUCAUCUAUCUUAUUGGUAUAUACAGGAUGAUGUACUUCGUAAAAAGACAAACUAUUCGAUACCACACGACGUAAUGGUGUAGAGUAUACAUUUAAUUAAGACUAUAUGGGCUUCAGGGGAUGGUACCUCUUCCUAUACGACGAUUCUCUACGUCAACCAUCAAUAUGAUAGAUAAUUUUAUGGUCAAACACCGAAGUACGUUCAUAUACGCGAUUUCGAGAAGUUAUAAAAAAAGACAACUCUAUUUAGUGGAUCGUACGUAAAGAGGUAAUACAACUAAAGGAAUAAAAAGUACUAUACGACGUGUUUCGAUCCUCUGUUGUAAGAACAUUGGCUACCACAUAACCAAUACGACCAAUUAAACGGUUGUUAAGAUCUUAAAGGAGAGUUUGUUACUUAAAAACUUAAUCGUCAGCGAAACUUACAAUUCGAUGGC